rnacentral:rRNA from 1 species
UACGAAGGGGGCUAGCGUUGUUCGGAAUUACUGGGCGUAAAGCGCGCGUAGGCGGCGGUCUUUGUCAGGGGUGAAAUCCCGGAGCUCAACUCCGGAAUUGCCUUUGAAACGGGGCUGCUUGAGUCCGAGAGAGGAUGGCGGAAUUCCUAGUGUAGAGGUGAAAUUCGUAGAUAUUAGGAAGAACACCGGUGGCGAAGGCGGCCAUCUGGCUCGGUACUGACGCUCAGGCGCGAAAGCGUGGGGAUCAAACAGG